UGGGGAAUAUUGGACAAUGGGCGCAAGCCUGAUCCAGCCAUGCCGCGUGGGUGAAGAAGGCCCUAGGGUUGUAAACCCCUUUCAGCGGGGAAGAUAAUGACGGUACCCGCAGAAGAAGCCCCGGCUAACUCCGUGCCAGCAGCCGCGGUAAUACGGAGGGGGCUAGCGUUGUUCGGAAUUACUGGGCGUAAAGCGCGCGUAGGCGGACUUUCAAGUCAGGGGUGAAAUCCCGAGGCUCAACCUCGGAACUGCCUUUGAUACUGUAAGUCUUGAGUCCGAGAGAGGUGAGUGGAAUUCCUAGUGUAGAGGUGAAAUUCGUAGAUAUUAGGAAGAACACCAGUGGCGAAGGCGGCUCACUGGCUCGGUACUGACGCUGAGGUGCGAAAGCGUGGGGAGCAAACAGGAUUAGAUACCCCCGUAGUCC
rnacentral:rRNA from 1 species